rnacentral:rRNA from 1 species
UACGAAGGGGGCUAGCGUUGCUCGGAAUUACUGGGCGUAAAGGGCGCGUAGGCGGAUAUUUAAGUCGGGGGUGAAAGCCCGGGGCUCAACCUCGGAAUUGCCUUCGAUACUGGAUAUCUUGAGUUCGGGAGAGGUGAGUGGAAUGCCGAGUGUAGAGGUGAAAUUCGUAGAUAUUCGGCGGAACACCAGUGGCGAAGGCGACUCACUGGCCCGAUACUGACGCUGAGGCGCGAAAGGCGUGGGGAGCAAACGGG